GUCAGCAUUCCAGCCAAUCAGCAGCAGACCCUCCCUCCCAGACCCUCCCACCUCCUGGACAGCAUCCAUUUACAUUCAUUGUGAAGCUGCAUUCUUAGUGAGCUGUCCAGGAGGUGGGAGGGUCUGGGAGGGAGGGUCUGCUGCUGAUUGGCUGGAAUGUGUCU